rnacentral:sRNA from 1 species
AUAUAAUUUAAUUAUAUACACUCCAUCUUAUUGUUAGUUUUACAUUUUAGAUAAGAAAAUUGUAAGUUAAAUAUUUAGAUAUAAACAUAUUAAUUAGUAUAUAUAAAUAUCUUUGUUUUUUAGUUUCCUAUUUUCUUUUAGGAAAAAGUAAAAAAAAAAUCAAACACAUGUCAAAAUCUAAGAUCGUUCAAAUAACCACGUGUCAUGAUCUCGUGAGUUAGUAACUUUCAAAACUGUACUUUAUAUAAUAAGAUUUUAAAUAGUAACGUAACUCUCAUACUUUUUCAGUAUGUAAUUUAGUAUUUCUUUAAACCAAAUUUCAAUCUUACAAAUUCGAUUUUGCAAUACAAUUUAAAUACCUAUUUUACCAUAAUAAA